rnacentral:rRNA from 1 species
GAUCCCACAACCCUGUGAACCUACCGAAACGUUGCCUCGGCGGGUGUCCGGCCUCGCGCCGGGCGCUGUGCCCGCCGGUGGCCCCUUACUCUGUCUCUGCAGCGUGGCAUCUCCGAGCAAUACAUAAACAAGUCAAAACUUUCAACAACGGAUCUCUUGGCUCUAGCAUCGAUGAAGAACGCAGCGAAAUGCGAUAAGUAAUGCGAAUUGCAGAAUUCAGUGUAUCAUCGAGUCUUUGAACGCACAUUGCGCCCGCCAGCAUUCUGGCGGGCAUGCCUGUUCGAGCGUCACUUCCACCCUCAGGCCCGGCCUGGUGUUGGGGACCUGCGCACCGCAGCCCCCGAAAGACAACGGCGGUCCCGAUCUCAGGCCCCGAGCGUAGUACUGUACGUCGCUCCGGGUGCCUGGCGGGCGCUGGCCGUAAGCCUUUUAUUUUCUAUGGUUGACCUCGGAUCAGGUAGGAAUACCCGCUGAACUUAAGCAUAUCAAUAAGCGGAGGA